GUGAACAUCAUUCAUCUAUAGAUUUUACUCAGAAAACACCUACUGUGUGCUUCCAGUUGCCAAAGAGGUCCCAUGCUGGAGGCUGGAGAUGCAGAGGUGACUUGGAUACAGUUUUUACCUUCGAAGGGCUCUCAGCCCAAUUGGGAUAAAUACAGUUAAGUGAUGGGCCAGAAGUAAGCCUGGACGUUAUGGGAACUCAGCCUUUGGAAGAGCCAGGAGUUAUGAAAGGCUUCCUGUAAGAGGUGAUGCUAAAUGAGCCUCGGCUCGUUAGGAGGAGUUUUCCAAGUGUUAUGGGAUCAGAUUCCUGGUAAGAGAACAUUAUGUGCACAGUCACGGGAGCAUGACAAGACAUGACUCCUUCUGGAAAUUGUUCAGAGUCUGGCUUGCAGACAAGGUACAGAUGGAAAUCUUCCUGGACUCAGGCCAAGAAGAGGAGAAAGGCCCUGUGCCCAUCCUGCUGUGAUUCAGGAGUCUCGCAGAAGACAUCAGAAUGCCUUUCUCUGAGUCACAGUCUGUAUCUUCUAGAAAAGGCUGUCCAUCUUCACCCCAAGCCCACUGGCUCCUGAGAUACGACAUCCAGACCCAGUGCAGCUGGACCUGGCCCAGGAAGAUCAUGCGGUUUCUGGGAAGCACUGGAGAAGGAAAAGGCUGAAGAAAGGAAGACCGGAAAAGAAAUACAAGUCCUUCCGCCUUGGCAAAGAUGAUAGUACCGUUCCCUUCAGUGUUCCGGUUCUGCUCUAUUGGAUAAGUUCCGGUUUGACUAUGACUACGUGAAAAUGUGGAACCAGACCUUCACCCCACAUUCCAGCUCCAGCUCUACCACAGAGGAAGUGCAAUAUCACCUUAGUUAUUCAACACAUUAUGCUCCUCGUGAUACAACCAGAGUUCACAUCAGCAAUCUUGGCAGCUCUCACCACGCUGCUGACUCACGACUCUCUCAUGUCCCAAUUUCCUGUCCAUUGUUCUUUCCUCUACUUGGCCUGAUUUCUAAAGGCCUCUCUUGGUUGCAUUAAGCGGGAUUCCUGAGGGAUUCCCUUGGCAGUUACCUUGGGGGAGCUCUUAGGUUUGGGGCUGAUCCAUGUCCUCUAAAUGUAGGACUUCAAAGCUCCCAAAGAUAGGCAGGCCCAGUGGGAAGCUGGGAAAUGCUCUCUGACCCCUCUGGGAGGGCUGGCAGUCAGAGGGCCUUUUGGAAAGAGUCAGACCUGAUCCAUAAGUCCCUGGAAAACACCCUGCCCAGGGAGCAAAUGCCACUGUGGCCUUGACUGAGGCUUCAGAAGAGUUUGGGAGCUGCAAUUCAUCCACACACGCAUUCAUUUUCAAGUAGUGGUUUGCAGUUCAGGCUUUGGAGCCACAUAAGCCUGGCUUCAAAGCCACUUUCCAGCUUUGUAGGAAGUCUCUACAUUUUUAAACCUCCAUUUUUUUUUCCUGUAAAACUGGGGUCUUCAUGGUACUUAACUUCAUCGUGAUGUUGAGAGAAUGAAAAGAAAAAGGAUAAAUAAAUGGCUUAGCCUCGUGCCUUGGCA
rnacentral:lncRNA from 1 species